GUCUCUAAUUAUAAACUGGAUACUACUAUGUAUGUUCUUCUGAACUUAUCGAUGUUAGAAAAGAACCUGAAUUUGAGAGUA
rnacentral:sRNA from 1 species